rnacentral:lncRNA from 1 species
GAUCACUGCUCAUGGAAUGAGGUACCUAUUCGAGUUGGAACUCCUUAGUUCCCAUCUCUAUGCUACAUGGUGGCAGGUGUAGCGCAGUGGGAUGCUUGGAUGUGGAAUAAGCCUGCACUUCCAACUCCUCCAUAUGGCCCUUCUGGAGGGGGAUGAUUAAAUGAAUGAGCCCCUCUGCGUUCCCUUUCCCCUUCUGUGGCUUGCUGCAGUUGAUGACAAGGCCCAAAGGG